rnacentral:rRNA from 1 species
UACGUAGGUGGCAAGCGUUGUCCGGAAUUAUUGGGCGUAAAGCGCGCGCAGGCGGUCCUUUAAGUCUGAUGUGAAAGCCCACGGCUCAACCGUGGAGGGUCAUUGGAAACUGGGGGACUUGAGUGCAGAAGAGGAAAGCGGAAUUCCACGCGUAGCGGUGAAAUGCGUAGAGAUGUGGAGGAACACCAGUGGCGAAGGCGGCUUUCUGGUCUGUAACUGACGCUGAGGCGCGAAAGCGUGGGGAGCAAACAGG